UUUAAGAUCCAAAUAUAAAGUUUAUAGCUUUUUUUAGAA
rnacentral:tRNA from 1 species